AGAGUUUGAUCCUGGCUCAGAACGAACGCUGGCGGCAGGCUUAACACAUGCAAGUCGAACGGUUGUAGCAAUACAGCAGUGGCAGACGGGUGAGUAACACGUGGGAACCUUCCUAGGGGUACGGAACAACUCAGGGAAACUUGAGCUAAUACCGUAUACGUCCGUAAGGAGAAAGAUUCAUCGCCCCUAGACGGGCCCGCGUAGGAUUAGGUAGUUGGUGAGGUAACGGCUCACCAAGCCUACGAUCCUUAGCUGAUCUGAGAGGAUGAUCAGCCACACUGGGACUGAGACACGGCCCAGACUCCUACGGGAGGCCGCAGUGGGGAAUCUUGGACAAUGGGCGCAAGCCUGAUCCAGCCAUGCCGCGUGAGUGAAGAAGGCCUUCGGGUUGUAAAGCUCUUUUACCAGGGACGAUAAUGACGGUACCUGAGAAUAGCCUCCAUCCCG
rnacentral:rRNA from 1 species